UACAGAGGUCCCGAGCGUUGUUCGGAUUCACUGGGUGUAAAGGGUGCGUAGGCGGUGCGUUAAGUCUGAUGUGAAAGCCCUGGGCUCAACUCAGGAAUUGCAUUGGAAACUGGCGUGCUGGAGUACGGGAGAGGGAAGCGGAAUUCCUGGUGUAGCGGUGAAAUGCGUAGAUACCAGGAGGAACACCGGUGGCGAAGGCGGUUUCCUGGCCCAGUACUGACGCUGAGGCACGAAAGCGUGGGGAGCGAACGGG
rnacentral:rRNA from 1 species